rnacentral:rRNA from 1 species
CCUACGGGUGGCAGCAGUGGGGAAUAUUGGACAAUGGGCGAAAGCCUGAUCCAGCCAUGCCGCGUGUGUGAAGAAGGCCUUCGGGUUGUAAAGCACUUUCAGUGGGGAAGAAAGCCUUGGGGCUAAUACCCUCGAGGAAGGACAUCACCCACAGAAGAAGCACCGGCUAACUCCGUGCCAGCAGCCGCGGUAAUACGGAGGGUGCGAGCGUUAAUCGGAAUUACUGGGCGUAAAGCGCGCGUAGGCGGUCUGAUAAGCCGGUUGUGAAAGCCCCGGGCUCAACCUGGGAACGGCAUCCGGAACUGUCAGGCUAGAGUGCAGGAGAGGAAGGUAGAAUUCCCGGUGUAGCGGUGAAAUGCGUAGAGAUCGGGAGGAAUACCAGUGGCGAAGGCGGCCUUCUGGACUGACACUGACGCUGAGGUGCGAAAGCGUGGGUAGCAAACAGGAUUAGAUACCCCUGUAGC